CCUACGGGAGGCAGCAGUGAGGAAUAUUGGUCAAUGGGCGGAAGCCUGAACCAGCCAAGUAGCGUGCAGGAUGACGGCCCUACGGGUUGUAAACUGCUUUUAUACGGGAAUAACGCGCCUUACGUGUAGGGCUUUGCAUGUACCGUAUGAAUAAGGACCGGCUAAUUCCGUGCCAGCAGCCGCGGUAAUACGGAAGGUCCGGGCGUUAUCCGGAUUUAUUGGGUUUAAAGGGAGCGUAGGCCGCAUGUCAAGCGUGCUGUGAAAUGUCCGGGCUCAACCCGGGCCUUGCAGCGCGAACUGGCGGGCUAGAGUCCGCGGAAGGCAGGCGGAAUUCGUCGUGUAGCGGUGAAAUGCUUAGAUAUGACGAAGAACCCCGGUUGCGAAGGCAGCUUGCUGCAGCGGAACUGACGCUGAUGCUCGAAAGCGCGGGUAUCGAACAGGAUUAGAUACCCCUGUAGUC
rnacentral:rRNA from 1 species